CCAGACUCCUACGGGAGGCAGCAGUGGGGAAUAUUGCACAAUGGGGGAAACCCUGAUGCAGCGACGCCGCGUGAGUGAAGAAGUAUUUCGGUAUGUAAAGCUCUAUCAGCAGGGAAGAAAAUGACGGUACCUGACUAAGAAGCCCCGGCUAACUACGUGCCAGCAGCCGCGGUAAUACGUAGGGGGCAAGCGUUAUCCGGAUUUACUGGGUGUAAAGGGAGCGUAGACGGCAUGGCAAGUCAGAUGUGAAAGCCCGGGGCUCAACCCCGGGACUGCAUUUGAAACUGUCAGGCUGGAGUGCAGGAGAGGUAAGUGGAAUUCCUAGUGUAGCGGUGAAAUGCGUAGAUAUUAGGAGGAACACCAGUGGCGAAGGCGGCCUGCUGGACGACAACUGACGGUGAGGCGCGAAAGCGUGGGGAGCAAACAGGAUUAGAUACCCCCGUACG
rnacentral:rRNA from 1 species